rnacentral:lncRNA from 12 species
UAGUAACAAUAGCAGUAAUAGCAACAAUCAUUUUUAAAUUAUCUACUGUAUUUCAGGCACCUUAAGCCACACUACGAAAGUUGACUGUUACCUUAAGACCCUGGAGACCAUGGCCCUGUGAUCGUGCCAGGGAUGGAGGAGACACACUGUGCGCUGUGUGUUGUGAAGCUGAAGUGUCCACAAAAGACUGCAAAACAUUUCUACGGGGCAGUGUGAUCAUGGUGAAGACAGCAGUAAGAUCUUAUAUAACAGAAGACAGAAAAAGACAGAGAGUCACGUGGAGAUGCACACACAUAUUAGUGAGAGAACACAAAAACAAUCCUGUCAAAAGGUAAGUAAUUUAUAACAAGCCAAAAAUAGGUGUCAGUUCAAAAGAUAAUAUAAAUGGGGUACUCACAGUGUGAUUUUUCUCUUAGUGAAACCAUCUGACCUAACUCAAAAUUUGGUGUUAAGGACGUUUUAGGAAUCUCACAAUUUUCACAAUUAUGAAUAUGCAGAGGAAUUCCCAAAUAGGGCAGGCAACGUGAACCUCUCUCCCCUGGGUCCCAGGAAGCAUUUCAGCUGUGGCUGGACAUUGAAUGUGGAUGACUCACUAGCUCCUUCAAAACCCGGCCUUUCCUCUGCCCCUUCCCCUUGAACUAGCUUCUCUCAUCUUCUGUCGGGAAAUUCUGUGAACAGCUGAAAAGGUCCAGAGGAGGGACCGCUAUCAUGACUUGGUAACUAAAUAUCCCAGAAUUUGGCCAUAGUCUCAAUGUGGGAUAAUUGUAUUCUUUUUAAAAGAAUCUGCUU